GGCCUGGUGGUGUAAGAUUAACACACCUGCUCUGGAUUUUAUUAGAAGAGAUUGGUAUGCAGAAGGUCCUUGUUCGAGUCAAGGCCAGGCCA